rnacentral:lncRNA from 1 species
CAACAUCUUGAGCUAUAUUCUUUAUGACUAAAGCCAUGCUGAAUGUAAGGAUCUGAGGGCAGAGCUUACAGAUUUUGACAAGGAAAACUCAGUCAGAUUUAAACCUUUGCGAUCGCUUCAAAGGAAGAGAGCACUAAGGUAAGGUCAAGUUUUCUUGCCCAGUGGAGAGGACUAGUUGCACGAAUCUACAUUUAUUCUGUUGUCA